rnacentral:rRNA from 1 species
GUCAAAUCAUCAUGCCCCUUAUGUCUUGGGCUUCACACGUACUACAAUGACGGUCAUACAGAGGGGUGCAAAGCGGCGACGCGGAGCAAAUCCCUAAAAGCCGUCUCAGUUCAGAUUGCAGGCUGCAACUCGCCUGCAUGAAGUCGGAAUUGCUAGUAAUCGCGGAUCAGCAUGCCGCGGUGAAUACGUUCCCGGGUCUU